rnacentral:RNase_P_RNA from 1 species
GAAGCGGGCCGGGCAGCCGCCGCCUCGUGCGGAGGAAAGUCCGGGCUCCACAGGACAGGAUGCCAGGUAACGCCUGGGGGGCGCAAGCCCACGGCCAGUGCCACAGAAAAGAUACCGCCGGAUUCGUCCGGUAAGGGUGAAAAGGUGCGGUAAGAGCGCACCGCGCGGCUGGCAACAGACGUGGCAGGGUAAACCCCAUCCGGAGCAAGACCCAAUAGGGGAGCGAUCAGGUGUCCUGCCUGGCUCCCGGGUAGGUCGCUAGAGCGGGACGGCGACGUCCCGCCCAGAUGAAUGGCUGUCCUCGACAGAACCCGGCUUACAGGCCCGCUUCCCCA